UAAAAUCAAAGUGUUACACGACAAUCCGUGCAGGUGUCAUUGAGACUUGCGAAUGAUUUGGCGCCAGCCAGUUGAUGGCGCCAACAUAUAGCGAGAGAAUCCAAGUCCCCAAGUCGACCAUAUCUCCGAAAUCCAAAGCCAAAAACCAAAACUUCCCAAAUACAUUUCAAUUUGUGCGGCUAUUGCGAUAAGUCCAAGUUUAUCCUGUGGCAAACUGUCGCAAAGUUUCGCACAAAUCUUGUGGCAUGGCAAACAGUCUAGUGACUUCAGUCUUUGCAGCCAGUUUGUUAUAUCUGUUUGUCAAAACGAAAAUAAAAAGAAGCCUUUUAGGAACUCACUGAAAAUAUUCUCAUUGCCGCAGCUGCAGAACAAAUAUACACACAUUGGUUUGGAAGUCAUGCAUACCAAAUGUUUCACAACACAGAACGAACAUUGGGAACUAGGGAAGCACCUUUGCGUUUCAAAUCUGGCAUGAUGUUUUUGUUUUAAAGCCAUUUCGAUGGCUUACAUUUUGCUUAUAUUCAGUUUGCUUGAUUCCCGGCUUUCUGUCACCUUACGAUCUCAUUGAAAAUAUACUUCUAAUGGCCCAUAAAGUCCACAACAGCUAGAAGCAACCGCAGCAGCUAUAAUUCUAGACUUCUGGGAAGCAUGGGAAGAUAACCGCGAAUUUAAAAAGCGGCGAGAAUGGACCGAAUUCAUUUAGUUUAGUUUCAAGCAGCAACUUCCGUUUUCAGAUUGACUCUGAUACCAACAAGACCAAGCUGAGCUUAUCAUCUUUUACCAUAAUUAUACUACGUCUUUUGCGCCUUUUUUUCGAGAACUUUGGGUGACCAGCGAAAAAGCUAACGGCCAUCGCAGAAGCGCAAAUUAAAAUUUAAAUAAAUAGCAACCAGCUGGCAAAUAUAAUUCUCUUUGUCCACUU